GGUACGGCGGACGCUGUUCUUGCCGUCGCUCCAUUGAGCUUCGUCUCAUCCUUUCGCCUCGAACCCUGAACAAUUGGAACAGAAAUACAAAUCAAACGAUGAUAAAGCUGCGAUUCUGCUCAAUCUCUCCCUCUUGCCCCAACUCCCAUCUGCCGGGGUUUAGGGCACCGUGGUGCGGUGUACGAAUCAGAGACAAAGAUCUGUGGGUGCUGAGGUUAAGGUAUCAACAGCAAGAAAAGGCGGUACUGUGGAAGGCUAACAGGGACUGACUCGAUUUCCUUGGCAGCAGCGGGGGUCAUCUGCGAUGGACGAGGUAAACAACCAGACCAAUGGCAUAAAGGUUGAACGACAAGCUGUCGGAGAUCGACGAGGAGUUGCAUAGCCCACAACCGACCGUGAAUAAGAGGGAGACGAUCCAUCGGCUCGCCGCAUCCAGUUUCUCAUAUCUGCUCUUCACGCCCUAGGAUCAUCAAAGACAGCCUAAGAAGACAGGAGCUAAGAUCGUGUGAAAGAUGAGAAAGCUACCGACCUGUCCUCUGCUUCUGUUGAUGAUGAUGCUGUCAGCAAUGUUGUUCUUGCAAAGCCGGAAGAGUGUACCAAGAAACUAUGUCUAAGAUGCCGGAUGAACCAAUUCAGUUUGAAAGGAUUGGUAAAUUCUGGUUUAUAUCACCCGAUGAAGCUUCUUCACUGUCACAAGCACGAGGAACUAAAUGCCUAUAGCAUCUACACCGGUCUUCACAUGUUUCCCAGACCGGGGAUGAGUAGGAAGGUGGUUCAUAUCAUAAUGAAGUUGCCACGAUGGGGGUGCCUUUUGAUAGUCGAUGCUCCAGUCCAGAAGACCAAAGAUUUAGUAAAACUUACCUGCGGAAGGUUAAACAAUUACAAAGUUGCAUAGUUUUCAUGUCCUCACCGGAAAUAAAUAAAGCACGAGACAUGCAAUGGUUUUUCCUUUUAGUUGCUUAUGUAUUCCUGCCUUUUCUCAUGGAGCUAGAGUGGUAUCUUGGUGAAACCUGUCUAACUUUAGAAAGCCAUCGUCUUAUCCUCAGAGCUGGAGAGGCAUCAAGGUGAAGUAACCAAUCUAUGCAAGCCAUUACAGAGUAUAUUCAUGUAUUGUUCUCCAUAACUCUUGCAUGUAUUUGUGCUUGUACCAUAUUAUAUCGUUUGUAUACUUGCUUAACUCAAUUUCUGGAUACGGUGUUCUCGGCAGUUGUAGUAGUUGAUCUACUGAUUUAUUUCACUAAGAUGGAUAACAGGUUGCAAUUAUAAAUCCCGUCUUAUUCUCAGAGCUGCAGAGGCAUGUAGGUGAAGUAAUCUAACUGAUAGCUAGCCAGUAUAGAGUAGAUCCAUGUUUUCUGCUCCAUAUUGAAUAUUUAUGAAUUACAUUGUUCAUCAAAGCACCUCCUUCUAUUCACAUGAUCUGCACGUUUUUAUGCUUGUUAGUAUUUUUUUUUAUUUGCUUGUUAACUCAGUUUCUCAGAUUUUGGUGUUCUCAACAUCCAUAGUAGCUGAUUUAGCACUGGUUAUAUUGAUUUAUCUCAUUUAGAUGGACAUGACAAGUUAGGAAUUCCUUUUCUUGAUUGGGCAAAUAAUCAGAGGAAGUUAGCUGAUGUUAUUGAUCGUAACAGAUGAGAAAGUUGAGAUGUCAUUGAGCGUCUCUCUUUUAUACCUCAGCUUUUGCAGGCUUUUUGCAACGUGUUCUUGAUUGUGCUUCUGGUAGAAAUUUCCCAUAUUCUUUAUAUAUGUUCAUGGAUGUAUUCUUAGAGAGAUUUUGCUGGAAUCUUGUCACCAAGAUUAAGGCUAUCCUCCGUUAUUCUGCAGUGUUAAGAGAAUCGAUAAAUAUAAAACAUGCAGUGUUUAAGGACCUUUAACAUGCACAAAACAUAGUGUUAAUAGACAUUUAUGAAACCAUUGAGCUUGAUCUAAAUUUAUUUCAAUAUAUCAUAAAAGUUGAACGUCAUGAUGCUCUUUGGGUCUUUGAUUUACAUAAACAUGUUCUACGGUUAAAAAGAUAUGUACAAAUUGGAAACAAAGUUGACGUGUUAUUGAUUUCGU